UGAUUAGGGCCAAGCAUAUUUUCCAUACUAAGGAAGAGCUUAGGGUGUGACAAGAAAAUCACCAGUUUAUUCACUCUGACAGGCACCACUACCAAGAAUUCCCUGCAAGAUCAGCAGCCUGCUGUGUUAUGAUCAUAGGACAUCUUCACCACCACAUAAAUAGCAGAAACAGAUGAAUGCCACUCUACAUUCUGGCCACCAAUCACCAGUUGAAGUUCCCCAGUCUUUCUGCAGUAUGAAUGAGUUUUGAAGAUGGGGAAUGACUCAUCACUUUUAACUGAUAAACCACUUGUUAGCAUAAAAUCAAACUUCUUUUGUUUUUGCAGUUUACCAUAUUUUUAUUAGACAUUUUAGAAGAAAUAUAUAAGCAGGGAAGGAAAAGGACAAAAGAAAGGAUAAAGGACCAGAAUGCAGAUGAAUAAACAAUGCAUUUACAAA